AGUGAACGCUGGCGGUAGGCCUAACACAUGCAAGUCGAACGGCAGCACAGUAAGAGCUUGCUCUUACGGGUGGCGAGUGGCGGACGGGUGAGGAAUACAUCGGAAUCUACUUUUUCGUGGGGGAUAACGUAGGGAAACUUACGCUAAUACCGCAUACGACCUACGGGUGAAAGCAGGGGAUCUUCGGACCUUGCGCGAUUGAAUGAGCCGAUGUCGGAUUAGCUAGUUGGCGGGGUAAAGGCCCACCAAGGCGACGAUCCGUAGCUGGUCUGAGAGGAUGAUCAGCCACACUGGAACUGAGACACGGGCCAAGCUCCUAAGGGAGGCAGAAGUGGGGAAUAUUGGACAAUGGGCGCAAGCCUGAUCCAGCCAUACCGCGUGGGUGAAGAAGGCCUUCGGGUUGUAAAGCCCUUUUGUUGGGAAAGAAAAGCAGCAGGUUAAGACCCCGCUGUUCUGACGGUACCCAAAGAAUAAGCACCGGCUAACUUCGUG
rnacentral:rRNA from 1 species